GACGAACGCUGGCGGCGUGCUUAACACAUGCAAGUCGAACGCUGAAGCACCAGCUUGCUGGUGUGGAUGAGUGGCGAACGGGUGAGUAAUACGUGAGUAACCUGCCCUUGACUCUGGGAUAAGCCCGGGAAACUGGGUCUAAUACUGGAUGCUACAUGUCCCCGCAUGGUGGUGUGUGGAAAGGGUUUACUGGUCUUGGAUGGGCUCACGGCCUAUCAGCUUGUUGGUGAGGUAAUGGCUCACCAAGGCGACGACGGGUAGCCGGCCUGAGAGGGUGACCGGCCACACUGGGACUGAGACACGGCCCAGACUCCUACGGGAGGCAGCAGUGGGGAAUAUUGCACAAUGGGCGAAAGCCUGAUGCAGCGACGCCGCGUGAGGGAUGACGGCCUUCGGGUUGUAAACCUCUUUCAGCAGGGAAGAAGCCACAAGUGACGGUACCUGCAGAAGAAGCGCCGGCUAACUACGUG
rnacentral:rRNA from 1 species